UAUAGGCAGUGGCUUGGUUAAGGGAACCCAUCGGAGCCGUAGCGAAAGUGAGUCUUCAUAGGGCAAUUGUCACUGCUUAUGGACCCGAACCUAGGUGAUCUAUCCAUGACCAGGAUGAAGCUUGGGUGAAACUAAGUAGAGGUCCGAACCGACUGAUGUUGAAGAAUUAGCGGACAAGUUGUGGUUAGGGGUGAAAUGCCACUCGAACCCAGAGGUGAAGA
rnacentral:rRNA from 1 species